CGCGGCCUCGCGGGGACGCGCGGGCGGGGGCGGCCGGGCCGCUGCAGGGAACGGCAUUAACCCUUUCCGUGCCGCUCCCGCGUCGAGCGGCGCCCCGGGAACUGCGACCGCUGUGCGGGGAGAGCUGAGGAGCCGCGGGGCUCGGGGCGGCCCGGUAGGGGCACGCGCCCGUCGGAGCCGUCGCGAUGACGGCCGCAGCGCCCCGCGGUCCGCUGCCAUCAUUGCCGACGCUGGUGGGGUUUCGUUCGUGGUUUUGAUCCGCUACAGAUAAAGCGACGUGAGGCAGCUGCUCCUCGCUCCGGCAGCAGCAGGCUACAUCCUGAAGCACCAGGAUGGGGCGGGAAGUGCUACUGGAUUUCAAGGGAAUACGACAGAAUCGGUAUUGCCCUCUGUCUGGACGUUCCUAGCAGGAACUGUGUAACGAGAGUUACAAGGAGAACAUCGGACGAGCAGGUCGGCCCCCCGAAAAUUAAGGAGCUGCAGGCACACUGCAGCCAUAGACUUAAUGAGUCUUGAAAGAAAACAAUUAUGUACCAAUAACACUCAGCUUUUAGUACAAUUGUAGCUCACGAAGUACUUUAGGAAACAGUGUAACUUGCUUUUUUUUUUUUUUCUUUUUCCAAGGGGAAGCCCACGGUACAAACGGAUGGAACUGACUUGCCCAUCACCACCUACCUGAGAAUUACAUUUAUUUCCUACAAUUCUUCCCCUCACCACAAUAUUGCGAAAGAAGACCGGUGUGAAAUGCACUAACAUAACAAAUGGAUAAAGGUUACAGUGCAGGCAUGUCUUCUCUCAAGAGAAAAACCAUACAAUUUUUUUUGAAAUUCACACUUUUUUUCUCUACUUUCCCCACAUAUUUUCUUUCAAAAAGCGUAGAAAAUAAAUGUUAUUUGCUGUUGUUUUAAAAAGCU